rnacentral:rRNA from 1 species
UGAGGAAUAUUGGUCAAUGGACGAGAGUCUGAACCAGCCAAGUAGCGUGCAGGAUGACGGCCCUAUGGGUUGUAAACUGCUUUUGUUUGGGAAUAAUCGACAUUACGUGUAAUGUUUUGCAUGUACCAUUCGAAUAAGGACCGGCUAAUUCCGUGCCAGCAGCCGCGGUAAUACGGAAGGUCCAGGCGUUAUCCGGAUUUAUUGGGUUUAAAGGGAGUGUAGGCGGUUGGUUAAGCGUGUUGUGAAAUGUAGAUGCUCAACAUCUGACUUGCAGCGCGAACUGGCUGACUUGAGUACACACAACGUAGGCGGAAUUCAUGGUGUAGCGGUGAAAUGCUUAGAUAUCAUGAAGAACUCCGAUUGCGAAGGCAGCUUGCUGCAGUGCGACUGACGCUUAGGCUCGAAGGUGCGGGUAUCAAACAGG